rnacentral:lncRNA from 1 species
AAGUCACAAGCACAGAAAUCAGUUCAUAUGUAAUUACAUUUCUUCACAUGAGUCAGACGAUGAGAAUUCUUAUAACAUUAGCAAACCACAGUUCCUAGUUAAUCUCUAACUUUAUCAAAAUAGGAACACAGAACAGACCCCUUUAACUUCAAACCACAAACCAUUGUUUAUAUAAAGAUUUAUACAAAGAAGAAGAGGAAGAUAGAACAAAGACUUAGCUUUAAGAUGUAGUGCCGGCUGCCGGUUCGGACGAACCAAGGAAACGGCGAACCCCUGCUGCCGUGACGAACACCGAUAACAAAAACGGCGAACUCUCGAUUAUCUCGUCUGCAUCAGAGCAACGGCAGCAGGUGAGACCGGUGGCCGACGGCGUCUGACUCGCCGGAGAUGGAGGAAGGCAGAGG